rnacentral:lncRNA from 1 species
CUGCGCGACGGCGCAGGGGCUGCGGGGAGCGCCGCGCAGGCCGUGCAGUUCCUAGCGAGGAGGCGCCGCCGCCAUUGCCGCUCUCUCGGUGAGCGCAGCCCCGCUCUCCGGGCCGGGCCUUCGCGGGCCACCGGCGCCAUGGGCCAGUGCGGCAUCACCUCCUCCAAGACCGUGCUGGUCUUUCUCAACCUCAUCUUCUGGCCCAUCUGGACUUUGCACCCGGAUAAAUCUUUUAAAACGUUUCCUCUAUCACAUCACUUGAUCUGAAAAUAAGGAAAACAGAAGCUUCAGCGGUAGAAUAAGGUUCAACUCCUUCCCCUGGUCUUGGAGCAGAAGUCCUCAGUCUGGUCCCAAAUCACCUUGCCUCUCUGAACUUGUCAUUUCCUUAAACAC